UACGAAGGGGGCUAGCGUUGCUCGGAAUCACUGGGCGUAAAGGGUGCGUAGGCGGGCCGUCAAGUCAGGGGUGAAAUCCUCCGGCUCAACCGGAGAACAGCUUUUGAUACUGGCGGCCUCGAGGGGGGUAGGGGCAUGUGGAACUUCCGGUGGAGCGGUGAAAUGCGUAGAUAUCUGGAGGAACACCGGUGGCGAAGGCGGCAUCCUGGACCAAUUCUGACGCUGAGGAGCGAAAGCCAGGGGAGCAAACGGG
rnacentral:rRNA from 1 species